CCAAGGUCUCUCUCUCUCUUCUGUCGUCGCAAUUCUCUGCCUUCCUCCGCCGGUCAACCGCUGGCACCAAGGUCUCUCUCUCUUCCGUCGUCGCAUCUCUCCGCCUUCCUCCGCCGAUCAACCGCCGGCGCCAAGGUCUCUCUCUUUCGUCGUCAUCUCUCUGCCUUCCUCCCCGGUCAACCGCCGGCGCCAAGGUCUCUCUCUUUCGUCGUCGCAUCUCUGCCUUCCUCCGCCGGUCAACCGCCGGUGACGACCUCUUCGGUUGCGCCGGCCCACCAUAUCCGGCGUCCUCCACGUCCUCCGAGGUGACUGGUGGAAAAAAAAAAAGAAGUCGAUUCACAUAAACUCUGUAUAUUCAUCCCAAGCUUUCUGAUCUUCACUACUGGAGUUUGAGGGAAGUGCAAAGAGGUUGGUAAAAACUGCCCUGCAAGAAGCAGCAAAGAAGAGAGAAAUGCGGUAUUCAGACUUGAAGAAGAUGACUGUGGUGUUUGUUGCCAUUUCCACGAUGACAUAACCGUGAUUGUUGUGUAGGUUUUGAUAUCUUUUAGCUAUCUAUUUGAUUACGGUAGGUUUUGAUCGUGAGUGCAGGUCAUAGGAGUUUAGCUCUCUAUGAUCUUAGUUAUAUAUAUGGAGGGUUAUUUUUAUGAAAGAGAGGUGGUGGAGCUACAAUACAAGCUUAGAGGCGAAGAUUGAAGUUUGCAGCAAAGAAAGAAUUAAAGCUGUUAUAUAUGACAGGGAUCACCCUUCUCAUCUUGAAGCUGUUUCAAGCUGUGUAUACAAUGGGAAAGCUUUUCUUGAUGUGAAAUUUUAUCUCUUAUGUAUUUCAAGCUGUAUACAAUGUUUCAAGCUUAUAUGUUGAAAUCCAAUGAUCUGGUUAUGUUUCUGAUCAAAUAUUAUGUAUCAUUUUAAAUUUUCAAUG